CUACUAAUCCAACAGCUAGGUUACCCAUUUUAUAACAAGUGACUUAUUGACAAGGUCAUGUUUGGAUAUUGUUAACAGGACACAGGAAAGAAGAUUGUCCCAUCUUACAAGAGACAAAAAAAGACAGAAAAAUUCCUAAUUCAGAUCAAUCGAUGUUCUCACAAAAACCAGAAAAGGAAAAAGCAUCCAAUAUUCUGCCUGAUACUAAACAAUCAGUGAAUACGAUACAAAUAUAGAUGGUCAACUUCAUCAAUUCCUGGUUUGGGUGACAUUUUGAAAAGCCAAGGUUGAGGAGGCAUCAUAUUGUUUUAAAGUCUAACUUCCUCAAAUAUUUGACACACUCACAUUGGAACAGGAAUGAGAAGGUGUCCAUAACUCUAACAUGGUAGAAGAAGGAUACCUAACUCAUCUCUUAGACUUAUGAUAUGCAAGGUAUGGUAUAAAAAAUAAUUAUCACAUAAGACCACUGGAGAGGUCUGUAGCAGAAAUAGUAUCUAUAGUGUAUAGCUAGGUAUCAGUUAGAAGGCAAAACUUGGAGAAGAUGAUAAGAAUAUAGAGAAUUGCAAAAGUAAGACCGUGAGUUCUUGAGGACAUUGAGGGUUUGGACAGGGAUAGGAGAUUAAGUCAGAUAGAUGAUAUACAGAGUCUUGGGUGGCUGAGCAUCUAAGGAUAUAUGUAACCAGGAAGACUUGAACUUCUGGUAGAGAUUGAGAUAGAAUGAGAUUUUCAGCAUAAUGAGAUUUAUUAAAGAUGGGACUUACGAAUUCUUCAGUACCUGUUUGCCUCUGUGCCUGGUGAAAAAAUGAAGCUGUUAUUUUCUAGGUUUAAUGCUGUUCUGGACCACAAAAAAAAAAGAUACUGCAAUU